AGCAUGCAACCAGAACGAGGAGACUAGUUUUUCCUACACUAUGCCUCUGUGGGAGUGGGUUUGCCUAGUGCGCUUGCUUAACGGUGACGCAGCGCUUGGUGUGUUCUCAAGGGACCCUGUUUGGAAAAGGGCUCAGGGGCUGUGUUGAAGUCAAGCCAGCCUAGAUGAUGAGCUUUGCCCGGUGAUUCAGCAAAAGUCUCCUGUGCCAAUCCCAGCCAUCAGGCACGCUGCCCGCCGUGGCGCGCCGCGUCUGUUUCACAGCAGCAUCCGCAGAUGUCGGGGCGCGCUGCUGAUGGAAAGCUUGGCAUUCCUCGGAGGAUGGGGGCCUUCUCUGUUAAUAAUGACAGUUCAAAGCUCUGCCGAAGAGGGUCAUAAAUCUUUGAUAAGGACUGCUUAAUGUGCCAAGUUAAAGGAGGGAAAAGAAGAAGAAAAAGCCAGCUGGGUGCGAGGCUGCGGGGUUGCUCCCCUGAUGGAGAUGGACGAGCAAAUGCCAUCUGGUGUCACAGAUGCCCAAAGUCAGAGAGCUGUCUAGAACCACCAGGAUUCUGUUGGGCAGACGAGGGAGCUGGCUGUUACACAGGGAAUCUCUACAUUGGGAAUACAAAGAUUCAGUCUUUUGCUGGUUGUUUCCAGGACUGCAAAAGUGGGAAAUCCAAGUAUGGUUGGAUUUCCUGAGGUACAUCCAGAUGCAACUCUUACACAGCUCUCAACCACUUAUUUCCAUUGAGUCUUCUGAGGAACGUCUCCAAAACAGAGACUUUGAGGAGCAGCCGAGAUCCUCUGCUAUCAUGAAGCAGCCACCCUGUCCUCCUGGAAGCUCCUCUGAAAUGGGUCCGCACCUCGAGCAGUCCUCUGUUGGGAAGGCUGUGGGCCCUGAUCUCAACCCGUCUGCUUAGGAAAGCUAUUUUCUAAAGAUGAUUUUAAGUACAAAGAUGCUCCACCAACUUUUACAGACUCAGAAAAAUGAAUGAGACAACGUGAGCUCCUGUUUCUAUGGCAUCACAGGAAGAUUAACGGAAGCCCGUCGAAUCUUAUAGCACAUAAAUUCCAAUAAUGCACGCAUGAAAAUAGGGAAAUGUUGGGGAAAAGAUGAUUCUCACACUAAGAAUGGAUGUCAGGAGACAUGAGAAUCCUCUGCUGUCUCUUGUUUGCUCUGCAGGAUCCACAGUCAAUCCAGUGUUCUCUAUACAAGUGGAAAUAUGAGACACCAGAUGGCCAUCGGCCCUUCUGUAAGAGGCGGAUGGGAGCCGCAGCCUUAUACAUUUCUAUAGAUCUAGGUUGCCUGCUCCAAAUAUGGAAAGGGACCCUUGAGGACGUCUCUUUGAGCUUCCAAAAUUAAAACACCAAUAUAAAACCCACAGCUGGGAAACGUUCUUACUUUGUUGUCAAUGUGCU
rnacentral:lncRNA from 1 species